UGGGGAAUCUUGGACAAUGGGGGCAACCCUGAUCCAGCCAUGCCGCGUGAGUGAUGAAGGCCUUAGGGUCGUAAAGCUCUUUCGCCUGUGAAGAUAAUGACGGUAGCAGGUAAAGAAACCCCGGCUAACUCCGUGCCAGCAGCCGCGGUAAUACGGAGGGUGCGAGCGUUAAUCGGAAUUACUGGGCGUAAAGCGCACGUAGGCGGACCAGAAAGUUGGGGGUGAAAUCCCGGGGGCUCAACCCCGGAACUGCCUCCAAAACUAUUGGUCUAGAGUUCGAGAGAGGUGAGUGGAAUUCCAAGUGUAGAGGUGAAAUUCGUAGAUAUUUGGAGGAACACCAGUGGCGAAGGCGGCUCACUGGCUCGAUACUGACGCUGAGGUGCGAAAGUGUGGGGAGCAAACAGGAUUAGAUACCCUGGUAGUCCACACCGUAAAACGAUGAAUGCCAGUCGUCGGGUAGCAUGCUAUUCGGUGACACACCUAACGGAUUAAGCAUUCCGCCUGGGGAGUACGGUCGCAAGAUUAAAA
rnacentral:rRNA from 1 species